AUUGAACGCUGGCGGCAGGCCUAACACAUGCAAGUCGAGCGGAGCGGCGGACGGGUGAGUAAUGCCUAGGAAUCUGCCUGGUAGUGGGGGAUAACGUACGGAAACGGGCGCUAAUACCGCAUACUAUCAGAUGAGCCUAGGUCGGAUGAGCUAGUUGGUGGGGGAAAGGCCUACCAAGGCGACGAUCCGUACAUGGUCUGAGAGGAUGAUGAGUCACACUGUAACGGAGACACGGUCCAGCUUCGUACGGUAGGCAGCAGUGGGGAAUAUUGGACAAUGGGCGAAAGCCUGAUCCAGCCAUUCCGCGUGUGUUAAUAAGUUCUUCGGAUUGUAAAGCACUUGAAGUUGGGAGGCGUUACCAACAGAAUAAGCACCGGCUAACUUCGGGCCAGCCGCCGCGGUAAUUC
rnacentral:rRNA from 1 species